rnacentral:sRNA from 1 species
UUUUCUUUCUUUGUUCUUUUCUCUCCCAAAAUCAGCAUCUAGGGCUUUUCGUUUUUCGCUUUCCCUCCACUUUGGACUCCCUCUCAGUGCAUCUGUGAAGACCAAGCAUCCACAGCUUCAUUAUGAGUCAAAAUUGUAUAUGCUUCUUCAAGGAAGAACGGGUAUUCCCUACUUGAAGUGGUUUGGAGUUGAGGCAGUUUAUAAUGUCAUGGUAAUCGAUCUUCUUGGACCGAGUCUGGGACAUUUGUUCAACUACUGCAACAGGAAACUCUCGUUAAAAACUUGAUGCUUGCUCAUCAAUUGGUUAAUAGAGUAGAAUAUAUGCAUUCAAGAGGUUUUCUUCACUGGAAAAGCAUCAUUGCCAUCAGCUGUAUCGAACUCAUGUGCUUUACUUUUAUUGAAUAAGAAAAACAACAAGAAUUCUAUGAUCGUCAUUGGCAAUUACAAUAGUUUCACUUACAAUCUUUGCUAGGGGGGUGAGCUUCCACCUAGCCAGAUAGUGACAAAGUGGAGGCCUAUUCGUUGACUGACACAAUAUAUAUUGGGUCACUAAGUCUAAACUGGGGCAGAAGUGGGGUGACAGAGCAAUACAGAAAAUUCAGAGAAGGAAAAUUACAAGUGAAAAUGGGUAACAACGAAUCAACCAGCCAUCACUCUCAAAGAGAAAACGAGGAAGAACUAAAUUGCCGCAUCAAAUUUCAUGCUGUAAUUGUGUUUACCAUAAAUACAUCAUGCACACUCCUUCAGACAAAAUACCAAGGAAGAGAUGAGACUCCCUUUGAUACGCACUAUUGCUAUAUGUUGGCGUUCUUUGUUAAUCUCUUCAUGUAUGUUGUGGCAUUAAUCACUAAAAUGAAUCUCCCAGCUAUCAGCACAAGUUCCCAUCUUGUUGUCAGUGCCAUUAGUCAAUUCUCCGGAGCUUUUGCAUCAGUUAUGCUUCUUUUAAUCCUCGUCCCACUUAUUGGGUGGCUUAGUUUAGCUCUCUGGAUUGUUUGCUUUUUGAAGACUGCAAAAAAAUUCUAUCCAGAAGUCUUAAGCUGGUUUAAUCAUGCUAAAUUUCGUAUGUUUCAAAUAUAGAGAUUGGUACUGAGUA